GAGGGUAUAGCUCAGUGGUGAAGCGCGUGCUUAGCGUGCAUGAGGUCGUGGGUGCAAUUCCUAGUGCCUCCA
rfam:Camelus ferus unplaced genomic scaffold scaffold1073, whole genome shotgun sequence.